rnacentral:rRNA from 1 species
GGGGACCUGAUCAUGCAUGCCGCGUGAGUGAUGAAGGCCUUAGGGUUGUAAAGCUCUUUUACCAGGAAUGAUAUGACAGUACCUGGAGAAUAAGCUCCGGCUAACUCCGUGCCGGCAGCCGCGGUAAUACGGAGGGAGCUAGCGUUGUUCGGAAUUACUGGGCGUAAAGCGCACGUAGGCGGUUACUCAAGUCAGAGGUGAACGCCCGGGGCUCAACCCCGGAACUGCCUUUGAAACUAGGUAACUAGAAUCCUGGAGAGGUGAGUGGAAUUCCGAGUGUAGAGGUGAAAUUCGUAGAUAUUCGGAAGAACACCAGUGGCGACGGCGGCUCACUGGACAGGUAUUGACGCUGAGGUGCGAAAGCGUGGGGAGCAAACAGGAUUAGCUACCCUGGUAGUCCAAGCCGUACACGAUGAUCACUAGCUGUCCGGGUUCAUGGAAUAUGGGUGGCGCCGCUUACGCAUUAAGUUAUCCGACUGUGGAGUACGGUCGCCCGAUUCA